rnacentral:ncRNA from 1 species
ACCUUAUAUAAAUGUAGUAACGCAAGACAGUUGCACAUUUCCCUGUAAGGUGAUGUUUUAACAGAAGUAUAAGCAAUAAGUCUUAUUGUGUGGCUACGAGUCGAAAUAAGAUAGGUUUAUAUGGAAUAGGUUAACCGUAAGACCUUGAGUUGAAAAACUUUAAAAUUAAACUAGAAAUCAAAUUUUUAAUUUUUUUUUAUUUUCUAGUUACGGUUGC